rfam:Ciona savignyi cont_61498, whole genome shotgun sequence.
UAAAGUCGUAACAAGGUUUCCGUAGGUGAACCUGCGGAAGGAUCAUUA